GAAAAAAACGAUGUAGGCCCAAUUCAAAAUGCUUUGCACGAGGACACUUUUAGCAGAAAGGGGAGCUGUAUUAAAUCUUGCUAGGGGAAUUAUAUUGUCUCCUUCUGUUUACCAUGAUGAACCAGACAGUACACUUAAAAACUUUGAUGAAAAUUUGUUAAAAGUUUUAGCUUGUCCACUUUCCAAAAAGCCAUUGAGGUAUGACAAAGAGACAAAUCAACUAGUAAGUGAUGAAAUUGGUGUAGCCUAUUCAAUUAUUGACGGAAUUCCAAAUCUGAAUCCUCAAGAUGCCCGAAUGCUGAAAACCAACUCAAAUAUUAAUGUUAAAAAGAAACCAACAGAAUUGUAAAGUUAUUAUUAAUAAAAAGACAGAUAUUCUAAGAUAGUAUACACAUAAAUUUUUACAUAGUGAUAGAAACCAAUGGUUUUAGAUCAAAAAUUAAUCUGUACCAUUCAAGAAUAUAUACUGAGAUGCAAUGAAAAUGCACCACUGAUACGACUGGAAGACGGAAGUGCUGGUGAGGUAUAAUGCAGGUAAAAUGUGACUUUUAGCCUGAGUGCAGGCUGGACAUUUACUAACACAAGAAAAUCAACAGCCAUGGAAACCAUAACUUUACAGUGAAACAUACGCCAACCUCUAACAGCUAUGCUGUCUGUAGAAAAUAAGCCACUGAAUGGGUGUAAUGCUGCUUCCAGUGUCUCUGGUACUCAUGCUGUCUUGAAUUAACGCUAAGCCGUGUUUUAGUGUUCAGAUGUCAACCUUGGCAUGUUGUUUUAUCUUCGACAGAACUGUAGGAAUUUCAAAAGCCACUUAUUUUACCCCAUUUCCAACCUUCCCAUCCUGUCGAAUUCAAUUAUUUGUGUUUUGAGAAAAUUGAUCAGUGUUGCAGUUAUGCAAUCGUGAAAACAUCAUCGUCAUAAUAUGAUGUUACACUGAGAAUUUCAAGAUUAAAGUGUAUCUCUCGAACAAGAUUUAAAAUCAUCAAUUUGUAACAAUGGUACAUAUUUAUUGCAUCUCAAUAUAUUUAUUUAAAGUGUGUCUCAAAGUUGUAAUAUUUGACCAUUUUAUCAAGACCAAUAAAAAUUAAAAUCGAAGUCAUGUUAACUGGUUGACUAGCUGAAGACCCAUCUAUACAUCUUUUGGGAGAUUUCAGUACCUGUCCACCAAUUAGGUUAAGGCAUGGAAAGUUUGAAGAUCUUCACUGGAUGGAAAAUGUGUGAUCCAACAUGAUUUGACUACAGAGUUAUAUGCAGAACGAUUUAUGCUGGAGGGUUGGGGGUGUUUUGAAAAUGAUAUUCUAUGAAAUUAAUUAGAUUUAUUUUGUUGUUGAAAGUUCUAAUAUCUCUUUAACAUCUGUUUUACAAAACUGAUAUCCCAGGUAAAUCUGACAAAUGUAAUCAGAGAUUUGAAACAGAUCUGCAUGUUCAUCACUAAAAUAUACAUGUAGACAUUUCAAGAUUCUGUACUCAUCUUAUGUAGUUACUUUCAAGAAAAAAAAACCAAACAAAAAAAACCAAGUAUAUGGUUGUUUUGAAAAUGAUAUUCUAUGAAAUUAAUUAGAUUUAUUUUAUUGUUGAAAGUUCUAAUAUCUCUUUAACAUCUGUUUUACAAAACUGAUAUCCCAGGUAAACCUGACAAAUGUAAUCAGAGAUUUAUCUGGGCACUAUUCAGCAAGACAAUUAUAAAGGCCAACUGACUGAUAUCAAUAUUCUAAUCUGUAAGGUAAGGCAACAGUUUACAUUAUAUUUACCACCUCCACUGCUAUGCAAUAACAACCCCCACUCCAAUGCAUAGUAUUAAAUCAUUCUAUA